rnacentral:rRNA from 1 species
AACGCUAGCGACAGGCUUAACACAUGCAAGUCGAGGGGUAACAGGGUAGCAAUACCGCUGACGACCGGCGCACGGGUGAGUAACGCGUAUGCAACCUGCCUAUAACUGGGGAAUAGCUCCCUGAAAGGGGAAUUAACACCGCAUAACACUAUUGAUUCGCAUGGAUUGGUAGUUAAAUGUAGCGAUACAGGUUAUAGAUGGGCAUGCGUGACAUUAGCUAGUUGGUGAGGUAACGGCUCACCAAGGCUACGAUGUCUAGGGGUUCUGAGAGGAAGGUCCCCCACACUGGUACUGAGACACGGACCAGACUCCUACGGGAGGCAGCAGUGAGGAAUAUUGGUCAAUGGGCGCAAGCCUGAACCAGCCAUGUCGCGUGCAGGAAGAAUGCCCUAUGGGUUGUAAACUGCUUUUAUAGUAGAAGAAACACAUCUACGUGUAGAUGUCUGCCAGUAUACUAUGAAUAAGCAUCGGCUAACUCCGUG